ACGGCGAUAGCUCAGCUAGCGGAGCACCCGCCCGGUAAGCGGAAUGUUGCUUGUUCGAUUCUGGCUCGCUGUG
rnacentral:tRNA from 1 species